rnacentral:snRNA from 1 species
AGCUUUGCGCAGUGGCAGUAUCAUAGUCAAUGAGGUUUAUCCGAGGCGUGAUUAUUGCUAAUUGAAAACUUUUCCCAA